AAAUUAAUAAAAACGGCCUAAAGCGUGAUUAAAUUAUAUUAAAAUAAAUAGAAAUAAAAAUUAACUCGACUGUUAUACGUAUAUGUUAAACGGUGAAACCAGAAACGAAAGAUAUUCUAACAAAUAAAUUACUUGAACCCACGAAAGCUAAGAAACAAACUAGGAUUAGAUACCCUACUAUGCUCAGCCUUAAACUUUGGAACAACCCGCCUGAGUACUACGAGCCACAGCUUAAAACUCAAAGGACUUGGCGGUGCUCUACACCCCCCUAGAGGAGCCUGUUCUAUAAUUGAUACCCCCCGCUAAACCUCACCACUUAUUGCCAAUACCGCUUAUAUACCGCCGUCGUCAGCUCACCAUUUAAAUGAAAAAUAGUAGGCAUAAUGAUAAACAUAAAAACGUCAGGUCAAGGUGUAGCGAAUUGGGUGGAAAGAAAUGGGCUACAUUUUCUAAACUAGAAAAUACGAAAAAUUUUAUGAAAAACUAUUUAAAGGUGGAUUUAGCAGUAAAAAGAAAAUAGAGUGUUCUUUUUAAAUAGGCCAUAGAGCGCGCACACACCGCCCGUCACCCUCCUCAGAAAAACAACUAAUUAUAUAUAAGAAAUAAGAAGGCAAUAAA
rnacentral:rRNA from 1 species